rnacentral:lncRNA from 1 species
UUUCAUUCACACAACAUGCUUUGUCAAAAGGCAGAACUCUUCCCUAUUGUCCCAAGCUCCUCCACAAUGAUCAGUUCACCUCCUAGUCGGCGUGCCGCUGCUAUGCCUCGCACUGCUAGUUUGCUGCCACUGAACACCAGCAACUUUAAAUGUAAGUGUCUCUUUGAAAAUCUUGCUUGGUCCUAUUUCUUCUCUUUUUGAAUUCCUGGCCGGCCUAUUUCAACUUUGUUCUAUGUUACUUUUAUUUUACUUGUAUUUUGUUGAAUGUGCUAGUUACAAGUAAAGAUGAGCAUAAAAUUCUUAGGGAAAGGAUACUCUUCUCCAAAUCAUGGAGUGAAAACAUGAGUUUAUAUGAGAUUUGCUGAAUAUGUGUAUGACAAGUAUAUGAGUUUGUCUGACGUUUCCCAAUCUUCAACCGCUAAUUGCAAUUGUUCUCAAGGAACGAUGGGAUUAUUCAACAAAGCGAUAUUGCUUCCCAAAAUUGGAUUUGUUAUUCCUGCAAACAGAACUAGAAAACUGAUAGAAAAAUAAAGUUCUAAGCCCACAAAAAUGUGUUUCCAUAAAGAAUUUAAUCCCCUCACAAUUGCCCAAGGUUUGGAUUAAUUCCUUCUAGGAUAGAAUAAAACACUAUUCUGCAAUAUUGAUAAUAGAAAUUGCAAAAAUUGCAGAACUUCAGCAAACUCAACAAACGGAGUAGAUCACACUUACUUUUGUUUCAUUGAAGAAGAAGAAUAGUGUUUUUAAC